AGGACGAACGCUGGCGGCGUGCUUAACACAUGCAAGUCGAGCGGAAAGGCCCUUCGGGGUACUCGAGCGGCGAACGGGUGAGUAACACGUGAGCAACCUGCCCUUAGCUCUGGGAUAGCUCCGGGAAACCUGAAUUAAUACCGGAUAUGACCUAGGCCGACAUCGGCCGUGGUGGAAAGUUUUUCGGCUAGGGAUGGACUCGCGGCCUAUCAGCUAGUUGGUGGGGUAAUGGCCUACCAAGGCGACGACGGGUAGCCGGCCUGAGAGGGCGACCGGCCACACUGGGACUGAGACACGGCCCAGACUCCUACGGGAGGCAGCAGUGGGGAAUCUCGCGCAAUGGGCGAAAGCCUGACGCAGCGACGCCGCGUGGGGGAUGAAGGCCUUCUGGUUGUAAACCCCUUUCAGCAGGGACGAAGCGAAAGUGACGGUACCUGCAGAAGAAGCGCCGGCUAACUACGUGCCAGCAGCCGC
rnacentral:rRNA from 1 species